AUUGAACGCUGGCGGCAUGCUUUACACAUGCAAGUCGAACGGUAACAGGUUAAGCUGACGAGCGGCGAACGGGUGAGUAAUGCAUCGGAACGUGCCCGGUCGUGGGGGAUAACGCAGCGAAAGCUGCGCUAAUACCGCAUACGAUCUAAGGAUGAAAGCGGGGGACCGUAAGGCCUCGCGCGAUCGGAGCGGCCGAUGUCAGAUUAGGUAGUUGGUGGGGUAAAGGCUCACCAAGCCAACGAUCUGUAGCUGGUCUGAGAGGACGACCAGCCACACUGGGACUGAGACACGGCCCAGACUCCUACGGGAGGCAGCAGUGGGGAACUUUGGACAAUGGGCGAAAGCCUGAUCCAGCAAUGCCGCGUGCAGGAAGAAGGCCUUCGGGUUGUAAACUGCUUUUGUACGGAGCGAAAAGGUCUCCUCUAAUACAGGGGGCUCAUGACGGUACCGUAAGAAUAAGCACCGGCUAACUACGUGCCAGCAGCCGCAGUAA
rnacentral:rRNA from 1 species